GAGAGUGGCGUACGGGUGCGUAACGCGUAUGCAACCUACCUUCAUCAGGGGGAUAGCCCUCGGAAACGGGGAUUAACACCGCAUAAAAACACAACCUGGCAUCAGGAAAUGUUCAAAUAUUUAUAGGAUGAAGAUGGGCAUGCGUGUCAUUAGCUAGUUGGCGAGGUAACGGCUCACCAAGGCGACGAUGACUAGGGGAUCUGAGAGGAUGACCCCCCACACUGGUACUGAGACACGGACCAGACUCCUACGGGAGGCAGCAGUAAGGAAUAUUGGUCAAUGGAGGCAACUCUGAACCAGCCAUGCCGCGUGCAGGAAGACAGCCCUAUGGGUCGUAAACUGCUUCUAUACGGGAAUAAACCUUGAUUCGUGAAUCGAGCUGAAUGUACCGUAAGAAUAAGGAUCGGCUAACUCCGUGCCAGCAGCCGCGGUAAUACGGAGGAUCCAAGCGUUAUCCGGAUUUAUUGGGUUUAAAGGGAGCGUAGG
rnacentral:rRNA from 1 species